rnacentral:tRNA from 1 species
UCCCUAGUGGCUCAGAGGUUAAAGCAUCUGCCUGCAAUGUGGGAGACCUGGGUUCGAUCCCUGGGUGGGGAA